GAUGAGUAUCGAAAACUUCGUACACCUCAAGUACGGCCUUCUCUUAGGCUGAAAGCAAUAACCAGAACUGCAAAAAAGCAAAGUUCGAGAAUACCAAAGAGAUUUAGGAUGCCUGGGAGAGUACCUCUUCGACAAUAAAUGUGGCCGCAACUACCACUACAAGAUUAUAGUUUAGAGAGGUAUAGACAUCCCAAGCAAGCAGAAAUAUGUCAAUCCUUAUAGGCGUUCAAAAAGGAUAAACAUCUAAAUCAUGACUAUCAGAGAAGCUAUUUCAACACCUUGACAUCUAUCUUUAUGAAUGACUUAAGAAUGACAAGAAUAUAGGAAAUGUACCAUAAGCUUUAAAAGAUCUACAACGUGCUUACAGUCUACCUGAAUAAAACUUUUGAAGAGUAAGAGUCAACAAUUCUAUUGUCCAAGAAUUUGACACAUUUCAGGUUAAAAGCAAACAAACGUACACAAAUUCAUCUCUUGGAUAGUAAAUCUGAGAAGGCAAAUUUUGUCACUAUGCUACAUCAGAUUAUUAUUCAAGUACACAAGUUAAAUGGAGAAUUUGAUGUCGAGAGCGAGCAAAAAUAUUGCAACGCAGCCACAAUUAAAUGAAGGCUCAUUUUUCACCUUAAAAGUAUUUUACCUAAAAAUUAACCGGAGACUGACAUUCCUAUUAACAGGUUAAUGAAAACAUUGCAUCACAGUGAGGCAAAAUGCAAGAUGCAACAAAAAAUAACUGGCAUAACAUCUCUAAGCCAUCUUAUGUCCAAAAGAGAGAGAGUAUAAAACUAUAAAUCACCAUUAAAAAAAAUAAGAAAAGAAACAAAAGUGCAUGACCUACUACAUUUUAGCUUAGUUUCUUGCUAACUUCUGUAAUACCCAAAACAAUGAACACCUCUGAAAUCUAAAAAAUACUCAAACUGGAUACCUUUUCUUCGGGGGAAAGGAAAUAAAUUACAUCGAACCCGACUACAAUGGUCCAACAACACCAUUUUACCAAUUUGGACUACUUUUUAUUUGAUCAGUUUGCAGUCAUUUUAUGGAUAAUACAUACAUUAGAUGAUAUUUAUCUUUCACAAAUUGGUGUCCGUAAUGGGAGAAGCAGCUUUGUAUGUCCGGCCAAGUUCUAUCGUGCUAGCUCCAUGUCCAUACUCGUUAUCACGCCACUGGUUUCCUUCGGAUCAUAAUAUAACAAAUAUGACCAUUUAUCAGUAAAAACGGAGAAAGUAGCGAAAUCAGAGAAGCUAAUAAAGAACCGAAUACUGCGAGGAAUUGCAAAAGGGAAACAUUACUGAAAACACGCAGCUGUAAAUUAAUAAGGUGCCACAUGUUUCAACACUUAAUUCCUAAAUUUCCAGAUAGAAAGUUAAGAAACUUACCGAAGAACUCCCAAUUUUAACUCAAUAUCUAACAUUAAAAUGGGGAAUUCAUUGGAAGGGAAACUGAAUUUUGGAAAUUUAUCUAUACCAUCGAAUUUGGAUGAGACGAUGCUGUCAGAGAAGACUUGAAGAUAAAGCUGAAAGUGUAGAGACAUAUUGACCUAGGAAGAAGAACCAUCGAUUAGUACAAAAAGGGCACAAAGGUAAUUAUGUGCCCAGCUUUUCACGCAUGGGACACGCGGCGCAUUCUUGAUUAAGAUCUUUUGUUGAUUAAUGUCAAAAUACAAUAUACACACGGACCGAUCAACCAAUUAUAUAGCCCAUAGCUGGAAUUCCAUUUUUACCCCGGGAAGCAGGACGACGAAGUCCUGCUUACUCCCGCUUCUAAAUAGUAGGAAUAUUAUGUCGCCUGAAAAUAUUCAUAAUGAGUAGUCCAAUUUUGUAGCAAUUGCGC
rnacentral:lncRNA from 1 species